AAAGUCCGUAACAAGGUCUCCGUAGGUGAACCUGCGGAGGGAUCAUUACACCCAUUUGAAGGCGGGCUGGAACCUCUCGGGGUUACAGCCUUGCUGAAUUAUUCACCCUUGUCUUUUGCGUACUUCUUGUUUCCUUGGUGGGUUCGCCCACCACUAGGACAAACAUAAACCUUUUGUAAUUGCAAUCAGCGUCAGUAACAAAUUAAUAAUUACAACUUUCAACAACGGAUCUCUUGGUUCUGGCAUCGAUGAAGAACGCAGCGAAAUGCGAUAAGUAGUGUGAAUUGCAGAAUUCAGUGAAUCAUCGAAUCUUUGAACGCACAUUGCGCCCUUUGGUAUUCCAAAGGGCAUGCCUGUUCGAGCGUCAUUUGUACCCUCAAGCUUUGCUUGGUGUUGGGCGUCUUGUCUCUAGCUUUGCUGGAGACUCGCCUUAAAGUAAUUGGCAGCCGGCCUACUGGUUUCGGAGCGCAGCACAAGUCGCACUCUCUAUCAGCAAAGGUCUAGCAUCCAUUAAGCCUUUUUUUCAACUUUUGACCUCGGAUCAGGUAGGGAUACCCGCUGAACUUAAGCAUAUCAAUAA
rnacentral:rRNA from 1 species